rnacentral:rRNA from 1 species
AGAAUCAACGCUGGCGGCGUGCCUAACACAUGCAAGUCGAACGAGAAAGUGGAGCAAUCCAUGAGUACAGUGGCGUACGGGUGAGUAACACGUGACUACCUACCCUCGAGUGGGGAAUAACCUCGGGAAACCGGGGCUAAUACCGCAUAACAUCUACGGAUCAAAUGCGUAAGCAGCUUGAGGAGGGGGUCGCGGCCGAUUAGCUAGUUGGUGAGGUAACGGCCCACCAAGGCGACGACGGGUA